rnacentral:rRNA from 1 species
GAUGAACGCUGGCGGCGUGCCUAAUACAUGCAAGUCGAGCGAACGGACGAGAAGCUUGCUUCUCUGAUGUUAGCGGCGGACGGGUGAGUAACACGUGGAUAACCUACCUAUAAGACUGGGAUAACUUCGGGAAACCGGAGCUAAUACCGGAUAAUAUUUUGAACCGCAUGGUUCAAAAGUGAAAGACGGUCUUGCUGUCACUUAUAGAUGGAUCCGCGCUGCAUUAGCUAGUUGGUAAGGUAACGGCUUACCAAGGCAACGAUGCAUAGCCGACCUGAGAGGGGGGAUCGGCCACCCGGGACCGGAGACCCGGCCCAACCCCCUACGGGAGGCAGCAGUGGGGAAUCUUCCGCAAUGGGCGAAAGCCUGCCGGGGCAACGCCGCGUGAGUGAUGAAGUUUUUCGGAUCGUAAAACCUUGUUAUUAGGGAAGAAAAAAUGUUUAAUUCACGGUGCAAAUCUUGACGGUACCUAAACAAAAAGCCCCGGCUAACUACGU